rnacentral:misc_RNA from 1 species
UGCCCUUGACAUGUCUGGAACCCUGCAGAGAUGCGGGGGUGCCUUCGGGAACCAGAACACAGGUGCUGCAUGGCUGUCGUCAGCUCGUGUCGUGAGAUGUUGGGUUAAGUCCCGCAACGAGCGCAACCCUUGUCCUUAGUUGCCAUCAUUAAGUUGGGCACUCUAGGGAGACUGCCGGUGACAAACCGGAGGAAGGUGGGGAUGACGUCAGUGCUUGCCU